GAUGAACGCUGGCGGCGUGCUUAACACAUGCAAGUCGAACGAUGAAAGCGGGAGCUUGCUCCUGCUGGAUUAGUGGCGAACGGGUGAGUAACACGUGAGUAACCUGCCCUUGACUCUGGGAUAAGCGUUGGAAACGACGUCUAAUACCGGAUACGAGCUUCAGUCGCAUGACUAGGAGCUGGAAAGAAUUUCGGUCAAGGAUGGGCUCGCGGCCUAUCAGCUAGUUGGUGAGGUAAUGGCUCACCAAGGCGACGACGGGUAGCCGGCCUGAGAGGGGGACCGGCCACACUGGGACUGAGACACGGCCCAGACUCCUACGGGAGGCAGCAGUGGGGAAUAUUGCACAAUGGGCGAAAGCCUGAUGCAGCAACGCCGCGUGAGGGGCGACGGCCUUCGGGUUGUAAACCUCUUUUAGUAGGGAAGAAGCGAAAGUGACGGUACCUGCAGAAAAAGCGCCGGCUAACUACGUGCCAGCAGCCGCAGUAAUAC
rnacentral:rRNA from 1 species